CGGGGAAUGGCACUGCCAGUGGAACAGGGAAUGGCACCACCAGAGACACAGCGAGUGGCACCACCAGUGGCACUGCCUUCCCCGCCCUGCCAGCCUUACUCAUGCACGGCCCAGCCACAGAAACCCAACUCCCUUUGCUGUUCACUGACCCGUCUGCAACAAAACCCAAACAAAAACAACCCUGCGAGUGGAAAUUCACAGCAAAGUUUCCCAAAGAUGCAAGGGAGCUUUAGCUAUGCACAUCCCUUCAAAGUUAAUGGGGAGAAACAGCAAAAUCAUCCAAAAUUACUUUGAAAAGCUGUGGAACGAGAACCCCUUGCAAACCUGCAAGAACCACCACAAGAUGGGAUGAAGUACUCAUUAGUAACCCAAAUAUACUGAUUUUGCUUCUGUCAAAGAACCAAAGAAUGAGCGAGUGCCUCUCAUGAAACACACGUUUCUCUUUGUGUAAUCCAGGAGAAAACAUUAAGCACCGCAGGACAGACAGGUGUUUGCACCUCUGUGUACACCUUCCUUCCCAGGAAAGGGAUGUUUGCUGCUCAUAAACAAAGCCCUGGACGGCACCGUGUGCCCCUGCCAGCGAGGCACCCCUCGUCCUGGGCAGUGCCUUGGCAGGGCACCAUUACACCACACAAACCACACUAUUUCCAGCAAGAUCAGAACUUCCCCAUCUCUGGCAGAGCUUGAAGAGGCGUGGCUGGGUGUUUUAGGACCCUUGCUUGCAGUACACACACACUAGUAGACAUGUCAUUUAGAGAUCCAAGACUGAGGGGUUUUUUGGGAUUUUUUUUCCUGACACAUGUCAAACAGUGAACUCACUUUUCACUUAAAAAACAUGUUAUAUUCUCAAUGUCACUCAGCUCCAGGUUUGUUUUUGGAACCCUCCAUUACAUCAGGCAGCAGAGAAAGGAGCCUCUACUACUGCUGGGAUUGAUUUCGUGCUACCAAAGAGCGCAGAGGCAGCCCAGAGAUCAGCAGUUUAAAACUGUGUGUCAGAGUCAGCCUGGGACUGUCUCAACAACCCUCAGCGAGCCUGGCUGCUCCCAGCCACGGGGAGGACGGUGGUGUCACAGUGCCACAAUGAACUGCAGUGCUGCCCUGCAGCCUCCCUGGCUGCUCCCAGCCACGGGGAGGACGGUGGUGUCACAGUGCCAAAAUGAACUGCAGUGCUGCCCUGCAGCCUCCCUGGCUGCUCCACAAGCUGUGUGUGUAACGAGGGCCUGCAGCAGGCUCGGGGAUGGACACGAAACAGAAGACAGGGAAAGGCCAUCCCAUUGUGUCCGCAGAGCGCGGCAGCAUGCGGAGCUGAGACCUGCAGAAGCAUUUUAUACUCUUUAGAUAUGCACCGGCGGGACGCAGUGGAUUCUCCGCGAGUCCAUGAAGAGCUCUAUGAAUGGGAGCUGAGGAGCCGCCUCCACAAUCCCGUGUAAUGCCACCUAAAAGCUUUGCCUCGCAUGACUUAUUACAGGCUGCAGCAGAUUAGAGCAUCGAUCGCUGCCUGGAGAAGGUUCUGGCUGCGAGCAGGGAAGGCACAGGAGACAGACAGCCCGGCCAUCGAUCGGGGCCGCGCGGGAUGAAGGGCAGAGCCCCGGCCCCCCCGGCUCCGGCCGCCCCUGGCCGAGGGUGGCCAGCAGGACCUGCUGCUCCCCACGGCCGCUGGCCACGGACAGGAACUCGUGCCAGCCAGGGCCGGCUGCCUGGCAGAACACCGUCAGGUGCCGUGUCACAGAAACUGUCACAGCUCACACGUGCUUUAGAAUUUCACAGCCGUUUCUAUCAGCACCCAUAUAGCUGGAGGGCACCAAUUCUGGGGAUGAAAUAAAGGGGACAAACUGUGAACCCUCUCUGAAAGGAGUAACAGACUUUCCAUAUCAUUUUCCCGGCAGGAUCAAACAGUGCCUCGUACCCACAGCAGAGCUCCAAAUGCCAGUGCCACAGAACACACAUUGAGAGGGACACAAAACACGUCCCACACCACAUGAGCCUCCGGAGCAUCUGACAGCCAUUCACACAAUUAAGUCCAUCGUAGCAAAUACCUUUCUUUCACAGAUAAAGCAGAUGGAGUUUUGGCUUUACCCUGCCGAGCUGCUGGCUGGCACAGGUCAGCAGGCACAGCACUGCCAGUACAGGGGAGAAAAGAGUGAGAGAGUUACUCAUGUAUCAAAUUACUUCUCCAGCGUAAGGGCUGUGUUUUCCUCAGUCCCACAAAAAGGAGAGCCAACUGUGAGCUGGGAAACGGUGACAUCCAGUGCUCAGAUAUUACGUACGGAAUUCUCAUCCCUGCCGUGCUCCUUUGUGCAUGUUCCGACGGACAGACAGCCCCAGCGCCCCAUGUCACAGCAAACCAGGGCAGGAGGUGACAGGCACAGCCAGAUCAGACCCCUCUGCUGCCCGUAAGAGCAAACCAACUCAUCCCAAAAGUGAGAUUGUGCACAGAGAUCAUUCUACAGUCAGUGUGUUAAUAAACCCCAGCGAGAACUAGC